rnacentral:rRNA from 1 species
AUGCCUUACGAUGAGCGGUACACACCGUACAUCAAGCAGGCAGGACUACUCCCGUGGAUUCUGUUGGUCAGCCGGUCCACGCCGAAUCUGAACGCUCCACUGGUGUCCGCUCUUGUUGAUCGGUGGAGGCCAGAGACCCACAGUUUCCAUCUUCGGACCGGGGAGAUGACCGUGACGCUCGAGGAUGUCUCGUUGAUCACCGGUCUUGCUAUCGACGGGAGGCCUCUAUGUAUGAGCACCGAUUCUGAUGGGUGGCGCGAGCAGAUGAUUGCUCUUAUCGGUAUGGCUCCUACCGAGGCUGAGGAUGAUGCAGAGGAGGGAGAAGAGAAGAAGAAGAGGGAAAGGAAGGCAGCCGGAGCUGCUUUCACGUGGAUUCAAAAUAACUUUGCGACGUGCCCUCCGGAUGCAACUGAUGAUGUGAUCCAGACACAUGCUCGUGUGUAUAUAUGGUACAUUGUGUCGAGGACUUUGUUUCCUGACUCCACUGGCAAGAACGCUCCAUUGAUGUGGCUGAAGGCGUUGACCGUCUUCGAUAGCAAAUGGAGCUGGGGUUCAGCGACUCUUGCCUACUUGUACCGACAGGUAGUUGGUCUGUUUUGUGAUCAACUCAUUUAUUCAUUAGCAAUGCAAGCUUGCUGUCAAGUUAACAUUGUUUUUCUUUCAUAUGUAGCUGGAUGA